ensembl:lncRNA
GCCAGACUUCUUGAGGAAAUCAGUUCUCAGACAGUCGGACCUUUAACGCUAUUAUUUAUUUAAUUUAACUAAUAUUUUUAUUUAUUUAUUUAUUUAACGCGGUUUGUGCACUAACGUCAUCUGUAUCCAUGAAAAAUGUCUGGAAUCAAGGAAGUGUGAUUCUUUUUUAAAGAAUCGAUUCCUAGCCCUAUUUUUCCUCUGCUGAAGUAAUUUCAAACUUUAUAGACUCUGACAGGAAAAAAAUUAGUCCAGAGACUACUGUGUGUUAGUGGACACUCUACGGUAAUUUGUUGUUAGUUCAAACCCCGCCCUCAUCAAAGUGAAAUGAUGGUAGGACGUCAGGAAAGUUCAGAAAGCGCCACAGCUGGUGAUACACAAGAACCACAACAUAUAGGAUGCAGCAUGAUUGCAGACAUGGUGAACUCCAGCUGUGGAACUGAACCACAUUUCAACAGGGUUAAAGAGCCUGAAUGUGAAACGGUACAAUUAAAAGAAUCAGACAAAGAGGUAUACAUCAGUGCAGCUGAGCAAGAAGCUGUUUCAGCUCCUGUUGUGAUCCUCUCUGACGUGACACGAGGCGAUGCAGUAAGUGACAGAUUACAAUCUACAGAAUUGUUGUUGGAGUCUGCCAAUCUUCAUGAAAUUGACCCAGCCCUAAUUGACAUCCUCCCUGAAGUGAAACAAGACAAUGUAACCAAAAUGGAGACUGAAGAACAUAGUGCUGAUAUCAAAAAUGAGCCCCAGGACCAGCCAGAUUUGGAAGAGCCUGCGAUUAAACUCCUUGGGGAAUUGGGCGAGGUGGAGAAUGCGACCAAGACAACCUCUAGUCCUGAACCACAGACAUCUCACAAAGACCAAUGCUCCCCAAACCCUUGCCAUGAAAGGUCAUUGGACGUGGAUGGAGAUGGUGUGCUUUUUCAAGAAAUAGAAGAGACUAAGAUGGAUCAGAAGGCUGGAGAUCAUGAUCCUGAAAUUUUAUCAGGUGCAGUACUAGAGCAUUUAGUAGAAACGUAUUUUAAUAGUGAGAUGCAGUUGCAGGCUACUGAAGGGACGGAAAUUUUGGAGCCUCCAGCAAAGAAAAGAUUAAGAAGAAGAAUGGGUAUGUGUGGCCUAGGAGACAGGAAGAGGAGAUUCCCCUUUGAUGGACAGCACUGUAGGCAGGGUCUUAUAGGAAGAGAGAGGGAAGAAGGACCUCUUAAGGGAAAUAAAUGUGCACAGCACCUGCAUGACCCGCUGUUGGAGAAUGAUGGUACCACACCAAUGAACAUGAAGGAACUACCAGACCCGCAUGUCAAGAAAAUGAAGAGGUUUUGAAAAACAAGGAGAACAAUAGUGCUGCAGUGAUUGAUGAUAAAAGAACACCAGGAGAAGCAGAAAAAGAACAAAAAAAAAACAUGAAUAAGUGCACUGCAUUGAUGAGAGACGGUGAUACCACAGAUGAAUCCCCUACAGAAAAUAGAGAUGUUCUGGAAAAAGUCAUAUUGGAGGAAAAUGAUGGUAUUGUAAUCAUGGAUAACAAAGGAACUACUGAACAAGUGGUUUCAGAGCAUCACCUUAAACUGUUAGAAGAUAUAUCACCAGGGGUUGGACAAACACUGUUAAGUCCUACCAUUGGGAAAAACUUGAACAUGAGCCAAGAUGAACGGUCAGUAGCUGCUGCUACCAGUGACCAUGAAAUAGAAACUGCUACCUGUGGUGAAGAACCAAAUGUCCCUGGGACCGACAUGACCAACAAUAGACAAGAUAUCGAAUUUAACAUGAAACACGACGUUCUGCCAGAGACACAGCAUCUUCAUGCUGAUUAUAAAGUGGGCGAGGACCCCGAUGAGAUUGCGAUGGAAGAUGAAGUUGCUCAGGAAGUGAUCUGUAGCUCAGUUUGUGCUACGGUUGAAAAGUCUGAAGGUUGUUUCAUAGUCACUAGACAGGUCCGAGAGGUUCCAACUGGUCUGGAAGAAAGUGAAAUGGAGAUUGAAGAGUGGUGUCCAUCCAAUAUGGCUCCCACUGAGAAACAUGACCCGAACGGACCUGAACUGGGCGGGUCCACUGAAAAAGGAUUGGACGCCAGAUUUGUCGACAGCACGGGUAUUGCUUCCAUUGAAAUACAUCAUGUGAAAGGUCACUGUGAAAACGACAAGCCCAUAACAGCUGUAUCAGGGAGUACAGAGCCUGCUGGAGGAGAUGCCAUCAAUGCUAAGCAGAACAGUGAACCUCUAGCACCACCUACUGUCCAGGAGAAGUGCAUGCAGGUAUAGUAAGUGGGGGGAAUCAGUGGCACAAAGCAAAACAUAACGAGCCAAGACUCAGGUUUGUAAAACAUCUAAAUAGUACAUAAGGUAGUAGCAAUAAAAUGAAUUCCUUACAGAUGUUAUAUUUAUAUCUUGUGAUAUUAAAGCAGUUAUGAAGAUUACUUAUAUAGUUGUUUUGUCAUGGUUCCUGCUCUUAGUGUCUUUUAGACCAGAAUCACUGCGACACUUCUGUGACCUCUACUGUUGCUGAGCAGCAGGUCUGUAACCCCACCCUGACCCCUGCUCCUAGUGAGGCAUCUCAGGAGACUGGCUUAUCCGUUCCAUCGUCGCUUUACUCUAUGACGGACUCCCAACUCCAUAAAAUUGCAUUAAGCAUGGAGCUGGAGGACCAGCCUAUCCCAGAAGGCUGUGAUCACCAGGAGGAUGCCACAGAGCUUGUGCGUGGCCUCAUCAGAGAACUCUCCUCUAUAAAUCGUACCGUGAUGGCGGCACACCGUGAGAUGGAACUCUUGCGCCGUGGAAAACUUCUAAAGGCUCCGAAUCGUCGCCUUUGUGGUCCUCGCCAUACCGAGAUGUAACCACAUGAUGGAGAUAUGAUGCGGAUAAUAGUCUCAUCCUUCUAUAAAAUUAUUAUUUGGCAGUAGGGCCUAUAAUGCUUGUUUAUACAAAUCUUUGUUGAGGUGUAUAUAUAAAGAGGUAAGGAGUAAAUGGUGUAACUUUGAUUUUGUGUUCGAGACUGGAUCUGUCUAGGUUAGAGGAGUUCUACAGGUUUACUUGUUUGUCCAUAAAGUUUGAUCUGUUUUUAUUUUUAUACAGAAUGCAUUACUAGAGUGUCAGAAUGAGCCUCAGCAGUUUCUCAAGGCAGCUAGCCAUGUCUCACAUUCCGUCUUUUCGCUUUUCAGAAACUGAUUGAUACGAGUACUUAAGUAGAUUAAUGUGUAGACUUGCUUUUUUAUGUCACUUUGAAGUGGGAGCUCCUUUUUAAUGCGCUCACCACCAUAAUUGUUUUGUUUACAAGUCCUUGAGUUGGUGAAAAAUGUUUGUUUUAUUGUUGUAACUCCAAGACCAGUUGAUAAUUCGGUCAUCUACACUGGUGGGGUGUUUUUUUUUUUUAAAAAAAACUGGACCAUUUGUGCAGAAUGAACUGCUUCAAACCAGCCCACUUCUGUACCAGUAAACAACGUAAAGAUGAAUGUUGAAAGUGGUCUCUUUGUUUUCCUUCAUGUAAUAGGUCUGGCCUACAUAUACGCUCUUAAAAAUAAAAAAAGGUUCCAGUUAGAACCAAAAACAAAAGUUUUUCAGCCUGAUGGCAUAGGAGAACCCUUUUAAGCUGCACAAAGAACCUUCUAUUUACUGGUUCUAUAAAGAACCCACAGUUCUUCACAG